rnacentral:misc_RNA from 1 species
GAGUGGGGUGUUAUUGUUUUUUUUUAUAUUUAUUUAUAAGUUUGUUGAAAUUAUUGAUUUUUAGUUAUUUUUGGGAUGUUAAUGUUUAUUUAUUUUUAGUAGGUUUUAGAGGAGAGAAAAUAUUUAUUAUAGGAGGUUUGGGUAAGGAAUAAGGAAUUAAUAAGUUUUUAUUAAUUAGGAUUUUGUAGAGGUUAAUAAGAGGUUAGUAAGAGAUGGGAGAUUGUAGUUUAGAGGUU